rnacentral:rRNA from 1 species
UCGCGGCCUAUCAGCUUGUUGGUGGGGUGAUGGCCUACCAAGGCGACGACGGGUAGCCGGCCUGAGAGGGCGACCGGCCACACUGGGACUGAGACACGGCCCAGACUCCUACGGGAGGCAGCAGUGGGGAAUAUUGCGCAAUGGGCGGAAGCCUGACGCAGCGACGCCGCGUGGGGGAUGACGGCCUUCGGGUUGUAAACCUCUUUCAGCAGGGACGAAGUUGACGUGUACCUGUAGAAGAAGCGCCGGCUAACUACGUGCCAGCAGCCGCGGUAAUACGUAGGGCGCGAGCGUUGUCCGGAAUUAUUGGGCGUAAAGAGCUCGUGGGUGGCUUGUCGCGUCUGCCGUGAAAGCCCGUGGCUUAACUACGGGUCUGCGGUGGAUACGGGCAGGCUAGAGGCUGGUAGGGGCAAGUGGAAUUCCUGGUGUAGCGGUGAAAUGCGCAGAUAUCAGGAGGAACACCGGUGGCGAAGGCGGCUUGCUGGGCCAGUUCUGACGCUGAGGAGCGAAAGCGUGGGGAGCGAACAGGAUUAGAUACCCUGGUAGUCCACGCUGUAAACGUUGGGCGCUAGGUGUGGGGGUCUUCCACGAUUCCUGUGCCGUAGCUAACGCAUUAAGCGCCCCGCCUGGGGAGUACGG